rnacentral:lncRNA from 1 species
AAUGUUCCGGCGAAAUUAUGUUUGUGUCGAUUUAUCGCAAUCUGGCAACACUCUUUUCCAUUUCUUUCCCGCUGUCAGAAAUACGCCCUAACAUUCGUCUGCCUCUCGUUUCUAUGUCAGGUUGUCAGAGUUUGAGUUCUUCUAAAUCACCGGCAUUUACGUUUCUUUCUGUGAUUUUGUUCCAUUUUUCUGUCUAACAGAGCUCAACUGUCUUGAGAUAUUCUGCAUUCUGUCAGUUUAUUCCACUGUGUGAUUCGUUCUAUGGUCUACAAAGCUUGCAAGCAACUUAUGUUUUGUCCUUGCUUCGCAGGCACCAUCGUUAACUCUUACAGUCAUACUGCCAUUCUGGCAGACAAAUCUUUACUCACAAUACAUUGAAGAGAAAACCACUAC